rnacentral:rRNA from 1 species
GCCAGCAGCAAUAUCACCCUGCAACUCACAACUGGCAACCCACUGAAGCUAAGCAAUGUGAGCCUGGUCAGUACCUGGAUGGGAGACCUCCUGGGAAAAACAAAGGUUUCUGCUGGAA